ACAACACCACGGAUGGCGGUGGCCGUGGCAGGAGCUGAGCCCGCCGACGUUGCUCCUGCUCGCCGCGUGGCCGUUCAUCGCCUACAAACUGGCCGGGCGGUUCCAGAGACGCGACACGUAACACGUCCUAAAUUAUUACGAAGACAUAGUAUAAGGGGAUCACGCGAUUUAGCCGGCUGCGAUCGAAAGUUACAUUACAAUUUACCUUAUUUCCUUAGAUUUAAAUUCUAUUUCCUUUAAAAUUGUCUCAAUUGUGAGAAUCACAGGCUACCGGCCCAAGUACAUGAUGGGUAAAGCCACAGAAUAAGUAAUAGUAUUAUCAUACAGAACGGCCACGCACCGCCCCGCCCCGACUCUCAUUACCUCGCCCCGCGACUGGCCGCGACAUGAAUCUGGCGGACUUCUGGCGUGCUCUCACUAAAGUUACCUACCCACACAUACACAAUGAGGCGUGUACAGACGUGCCGUGCACACAUAUAAACGCCAAUGAUUUUUUGAUGUAUUGCGUGUCCACCCUGUGGUAAAGCGAUGAUAACGCACACUGUGGCAUAAAUGUCAAGUUAAAGAUAUGUUUAUAUUAUCUUAUAUAUAUGAGAACGAAUGUGACCUGUAGCCCCCAGGGAUAGGCAUUGCUGUACUCAAAGAGAAGCCAACAAUUUUUAAAAUUUAAGUAAUUUUUUUGAUACUUGAAUUUCUUUAUACUUAAUGGUUAUUUCUAUUUCCUAGGAUUUAAAUAUUAUUUUCAGUAGAUAGAUAGAACAAAAACAUCCCAUAUUUUUGUAAUGUAACUUUCGUUUCUCGCCAUCGCAUAGCUCAGUUUACAAAACGGAUAUGGUGAUAUCUGUCUUAGUGAAAUGGUACCGUUGGGUUUUGUACGUUAAAAUAAAAGGGGUAAGGUUCAUUUUCACUUAGCGUCAUUAUUUAUAGUCCGUGAGCCGAAUGAUGAAUUUAUCUACUAUGAAAAGCCCUUAGGAUCCAUUAUACAUAAUAUUUUUUUUAUAUAUAUCAGGGGACCGUUUCUCAAAAGCUUGUAACUUGUUAUACAAGUGAAAGUCCCUUUCUAACAAAAGCUGUCAAAAAGUGACAUCCGCUUGUAUUACAACUUACAGGCUUUUGAGGAACGGCCCCAGAAGACAUCUUACACAGAUCAACCUAGCCCCAAACUAAUCAACGCUAAAGUAUAUGUAGUAGUGUUUAUUUUUAGUUGUGUUAUAAAAUUGCAAUAUGUUUUUAAUCAAUUAUUCAUUCACGUACGUCGUACAGCUUGGCAAAAAAGAGGAGAAAUUAAAAAGUGGCAACACUGUAGUGUCGUCACUUUCAAACCAAUGUAUAUAAGCAGCGGGACGACACUACAGUGUCGCCACUUUUUAAUUUCUACACUUUUUUGCCAAGCUGUACGCGCCACAUUACUACACAAUUACAUCUUACAGACUAAAAAUUAAAAUGCUACUACAAAUUGACAUGGAAAUACAGAAUUUUAUGAAGUAUACUGGAUCCUAUGGGUUUGUGCUGAAAUACAUUUAUUAUUCAUAUUGAAACGCCUGGUAUUUUAAAUCAAUUCGUUUUAUAUGUUUAAAUUUCCACAAAUUAAAGUAUUUAUGUUUGGUUUUAAUAUUUAGAUUUUUACAGCUUUUAGUGGUGAUAAUGCAUUUGUCGUGUUAUUUGUAAGAAAUGUCAGUUUUAAAUGAAAAUGCGUAGAACUGAGGGUAGUACAUACUUGAUUUCCGAACGUUUUUAUUUUACCUUUUACAUUUUUUUAAACAAGUAACUGUGUAGUUCUACAUUGAACAAUUUCACGCACGAUAAAUGGAAAUCAUGUUUAUAGGGACAGUGGUGCCAAUAUGAAACGAUGUAUUUUUAUAAAGGCGUAUCCAGAUUAAUCCAUUUUUCGCCAAUCUGAUUAAAUUGCCCGAUCGAAUUAGGACGUGCGGACGAAAACGCCAAUUUGGCUCGCCGAAUUCAACCGCUGAUAAUGACCGAUAUUACCGAUAAAAUGAGGAACGCAAGAAUACCAAUUUGCGACGCCAGUAUUUUCGUUCUGGGGCAUUUUCAAUUUAGAGGGCUCUAAUAUCACCAUAAAUCUAAAAUUGGUGAUGAAAUUGCAGAUUGACGCCAAAAAUUGGCGUCAAUCGGUCGAUUUGAUCAUCCCGUCUAGAUACCGCUUAAAGGAGGUUUCUUUGUGAUUAUCCCUCGUUCUACGCAUGCAUCAGUCAAUGUUACCUGCUACUUGUCUCACUUAAUUUAUUCGGCGAUAUCCUCACUUUUACAUUCUUACUUUUAAUUUAUUUUUAAGGGUAUUGGUGUACUGAUUACUAUUAAAAUAUUGCAUGCGAAGCAAAUGUUUAUAAAAACCUUCAUUUUAUCAUAUGGUUAAAUCCCGCAAGUUACCACCAAGUUUUUACCAGUGGUAACAACUGAAAUUUUUUACUUUUUACCACUGGCAACAACUGAGAAAAAAAAUCACACUAGUUACCAAUAAACUGAGUUGGUGGUAACUACUGGGAAUAAUGUUUCUCAGUUGUUACCAUUGGAGAUGUGAAAAAAAAUCUAUUGUUACCACUGGUCACAACUUGGUGGUAACUAGUGGGAAUAACUCGAAGCAAAUUAAAUUACUUAGUUCGUAUUCUAAAGUGGAGGCAAACGAGCCUAGGGCCUGCUAAGUAGUCAGCGUAGCCCAUAAACGCUUUCAUUCUGAAGAUACGAUUUUUUCGCUUCGCUUGCGAUUUACAUGACUUUUAUACUUUUUUUAUUUAAAAUAUUGAAAAGACUAAAAUAAAUUUUAUUGAAUUAUGAAUGAAUUCAUUUAUAUUUUCGUUGUUAUAAAUUUUCUUAUUCUGUAUCCUACGUUAGAGUAAGCAGAUGUGUUGUUGGUUAUUAUUUGUAAUUAUUAUGUGAUAUGUAGUUAAUAAAAUGUAAUAGUUGUUGUA